GAUCAUUAUUGAAUAACUUUGGCGUGGUUGUAGCUGGUCCUCUCGGGGGCAUGUGCUCGCCCGUCAUCUUUAUAUCUCCACCUGUGCACCUUUUGUAGACGUUGGAACUGGAUAGGAGAGGGACUUGUCCUUCAAGUUGAAGGUUUUUUCGGCGCUCUACGUUUUCAUAUACCCCAAAGAAUGUAACAGAAUGUWUCUUAUGGCUUUAUGCCUAUAAACUAUAUACAACUUUCAGCAACGGAUCUCUUGGCUCUCGCAUCGAUGAAGAACGCAGCGAAAUGCGAUAAGUAAUGUGAAUUGCAGAAUUCAGUGAAUCAUCGAAUCUUUGAACGCACCUUGCGCUCCUUGGUAUUCCGAGGAGCAUGCCUGUUUGAGUGUCAUUAAAUUCUCAACCUUACCAGCUUUUGUUAGCUUGUGUAAUGGCUUGGACUUGGGGGUAUUUUGCCGGCUUCUCUUGAGAUGUCAGCUCCCCUUAAAUGCAUUAGCCGGCUGCCCGCUGUGGACCGUCUAUUGGUGUGAUAAUUAUCUACGCCGUGGACGUCUGCUCUCAAUGGGUUGAAGCUGCUUCUAACCGUCCGUUUAUUCGGACAGCACAUAAUGACAAUUUGACCUCAAAUCAGGUAGGACUACCCGCUGAACUUAAGCAUAUCAAUAAGCGGAGGAAAAGAAACUAACAAGGAUUCCCCUAGUAACUGCGAGUGAAGCGGGAAAAGCUCAAAUUUAAAAUCUGGCGGUCUUUGGCUGUCCGAGUUGUAAUCUAGAGAAGUGUUAUCCCCUG
rnacentral:sRNA from 1 species